CCUACGGGAGGCAGCAGUGGGGAAUAUUGCACAAUGGGCGCAAGCCUGAUGCAGCCAUGCCGCGUGUGUGAAGAAGGCCUUCGGGUUGUAAAGCACUUUCAGCGGGGAGGAAGGCGUUAAGGUUAAUAACCUUGGCGAUUGACGUUACCCGCAGAAGAAGCACCGGCUAACUCCGUGCCAGCAGCCGCGGUAAUACGGAGGGUGCAAGCGUUAAUCGGAAUUACUGGGCGUAAAGCGCACGCAGGCGGUCUGUCAAGUCGGAUGGGAAAUCCCCGGGCUCAACCUGGGAACUGCAUUCGAAACUGGCAGGCUAGAGUCUUGUAGAGGGGGGUAGAAUUCCAGGUGUAGCGGUGAAAUGCGCAGAGAUCUGGAGGAAUACCGGUGGCGAAGGCGGCCCCCUGGACAAAGACUGACGCUCAGGUGCGAAAGCGUGGGGAGCAAACAGGAUUAGAUACCCCAGUAGUC
rnacentral:rRNA from 1 species